UCGUGCAGAAUGGCGAGGAUGCCUGCGGAAAGUUCAUCGAAGCCCACCUGCAAUGCCUGAGAGCUGAAGGGUUCAAUGUCUGACGCCUGGCUCUGUCGUGGCAACUUCACACCUGUUUCUGCGAUAGUCCGAUUUUGAUCAUAAACAGUAUGAUGGAUGAGAACUUUUGGUAGAGUGAUAGGAAGAACUCACUGUUUCAUUUCUAGAGUGCAAAAAAGAAUGCCGCUGAACAUGGCAGUUUGCAAGGCAUCCUGCACCAUACAUAUCUGCAAUUCUUGAUUAUACUUUUAUGGAACAUUGUAUAUGAGAAUUGCUUGUUUGGGUCCACUGGCUGGAG
rnacentral:lncRNA from 1 species